rnacentral:rRNA from 1 species
UGAGGAAUAUUGCACAAUGGGCGCAAGCCUGAUGCAGCGACGCCGCGUGAGCGAAGAAGGCCUUCGGGUCGUAAAGCUCUUUUCUAUGUGACGAGUAAGGACGGUAGCAUAGGAAUAAGUCUCGGCUAACUACGUGCCAGCAGCCGCGGUAAAACGUAGGAGGCGAGCGUUAUCCGGAGUUACUGGGCGUAAAGCGCGUGUAGGCGGUUGGUUAGGUCGAAUGUGAAAGCUCCCAGGCUAAACCGGGAGAGGACAUUGGAAACCGGCGAACUAGAGGCCAUCAGAGGGGUAUGGAAUUCCAGGUGUAGUGGUGAAAUGCGUAGAGAUCUGGAGGAACACCAGAGGCGAAGGCGGUACCCUGGGAUGGUUCUGACGCUGAGACGCGAAAGCAUGGGUAGCGAACGGGAUUAGAUACCCCCGUAGUCC